rnacentral:lncRNA from 1 species
ACAACAACAACAACAACAGUAGACGACGACAUAGAUCUUACGUUAUCUCCAUAGCCACCAUUCUCGAGCUUCGUGCCCCCCCCCCCCCCCCGCGUUGCAGUAGUGACCGCUCUUCGAAGUCCUUCCCCCUUCAUUGUUGCUGGGUGCAUAUUCGACGCGAUCCUGGCUCCACAUUCUUCGACCUGUCUUCCAUUUCGGACGUUUGGAUGAGAGCCAUUUUGGCUAUCGGGUUCUUUCUCCGAGCUUCUUGCACUCGGUUUAUUGUAAGGUUAUGACAGUUCUGCCGUUUUUUUGCAGCGCAGAAAUCAGUGUUUUCGUCUGCUGCGUUGCGGAAUCGGUGGAAGUUUUGAAAGACAAGUCUCACGCAAUCUUUAGACUCGUCGAUAUGAGACUCAUGACGGCUAAUUCUCAUGGCAGUAUCUUUUUCUUCUGUUUUUUUCAGUCAUGGAAGUGACAAUUCUGACCUGGCUGUUGGAAUCUCAGGGAGAGGUUACGAUUCGAGAAGAUGUUACGCGUUGUCUCAACGGGAUGCAAUAUUUCUCAAAUGGGGAGAAAGAUUUUUGGCGGUUUUUUGAGGUAAUUCUUCUUCUUCCUUCCGCCAUGAUCGAGUCAACGGCCGAAAAUUUCUCUGUGCAUGUCAUUAAUGUCCUUGUUUGAUCCGAAUUUGCUUUAAGAUUGUGUGAAGGAUACAAGCAGCUGCUGUUAAUUGUGCACUCUACAUGGAAUUAUUAUUUGGAAGGGACUCGCUUCAGGCUCGGGAACGCUUGUCGGAGUCGAUGAGUUUUAUGAUCUGACGUAUUCUAGGGGAGUUUUCUGCGCUGCAAGUAAUGCGCCACAUUCCAACCAAGGAGCGAAACUUAUUUUCUGGAACACUGUAAAAUGAGGCAAAUAUACACAUUGACUGGAACGUAGCUCCUCAAAGUCAGACUGCUAAGUUUUACACACACGAGACUCUGAAACAUGUCAUCGACGUAGCCAAAACAUAUCCCUUCUGACCAAUUAGUUGCAGUGGGUUAGAAAAAAGUCCAUCGGCAAGCUGAAUUAGCGAAUGCGUGAGACCACGAAGACGAGAAAUAAAGAAUCGAGGUUUUUCAUGAGAUUGCCUUGUCUGUUAACAUGGUAAAAUUAAGAAGGCGCUCAUCCCGUGUUCAGGUAAAGGGAGAGCUCCUAAGGUAACAUUUCGCGAGGAUUUGACCAAGUGAAGUCCUAAGCUAAUAGGUGAUCCUCGGGUGAAAAAUCAGAAUGUUUGUUCAAAUUUUCAUCGUUUUCACUUUCUUCGGAGGAAGACGAUGACGACGAAGAAGAGGAAGAAGAUGAAGAUGAAGACUUUCCCCCUCGCGUUUUCUUUUUAUCAAAGUUCUUAUUCUUCUUUUUCUCAGUGGAUGAAACCUUGAGACGCUGCAGUGUGGCAGGCUGAUCCUGGGGCUCAAUUUGCACGAGGUUGCCAGGAGUGUUGGCUUGACGAAACUCGGAUUUCUCGGAGGAGCUUGCUUCAACUUCAGCUCCUCUCACGGUAUUGAGUGUCUUUGCUCCAGUAAUUGGACGACUCUUUGACGACGUACUUGAAGAAAUUGUCCUCGACUUUUGAGAAGGAGUCUCCUUCUCUACCUUCCGAUGUCUCAAACCCUUAGAAGGACGACUGCUGGUCGUGUCCUGAGUUUCUCUUAAUUGAAUUUUUAAUGGUUUUGAACGAUUUGGCCUGACGAAUGUGGGGGUGUCCAGGUAAAUAACCUCUCUUAAUGAACCCACUGCCUUUCCACGCUUGUGAGGAGGUUGGGAAACCUCUGCUAACGGUCUUGGGUGUGCAAUCUCUGCCUCCUGAGAAGGGUUUACUCCUUCCUUCGACGUGUGGAAAUUCUUGGCUCGAGG